rfam:Schistosoma mattheei strain Denwood, Zambia genome assembly, scaffold: SMTD_scaffold0013537
AUUUAGCUGACGAGUCCCAAAUAGUACGAAAUGCACAUCCUGUAU